AAAUUGAAGAGUUUGAUCAUGGCUCAGAUUGAACGCUGGCGGCAGGCCUAACACAUGCAAGUCGAACGGUAACAGGAAGCAGCUUGCUGCUUUGCUGACGAGUGGCGGACGGGUGAGUAAUGUCUGGGAAACUGCCUGAUGGAGGGGGAUAACUACUGGAAACGGUAGCUAAUACCGCAUAACGUCGCAAGACCAAAGAGGGGGACCUUCGGGCCUCUUGCCAUCGGAUGUGCCCAGAUGGGAUUAGCUAGUAGGUGGGGUAACGGCUCACCUAGGCGACGAUCCCUAGCUGGUCUGAGAGGAUGACCAGCCACACUGGAACUGAGACACGGUCCAGACUCCUACGGGAGGCAGCAGUGGGGAAUAUUGCACAAUGGGCGCAAGCCUGAUGCAGCCAUGCCGCGUGUAUGAAGAAGGCCUUCGGGUUGUAAAG
rnacentral:rRNA from 1 species